GUAGAAAUGCCAGAGAGUGAUAAUGGGAUUGGUUUAGGACCAAUUUAGGGCUUAGGCCUUUCUACU
rnacentral:tRNA from 1 species